AGUCAAUAAGGAAGCACCAAAAAUAAUUAAUUUAACCCAACAUGAAUUAACUAUCAUAAAUUCGGGUAAAUGAAAUAGUAAACAGCAGCAGAUUCGACCUUGAUUUCAAUCAGGUAUGACCAAACUUUCAGUAAAAUUCUUGAGGUUAACCCCCAUCAAAGUUCUAAAACUUUGUGCAGGAAUGCUCGAAACUUGUGGCUUACCAUCCCUCUGGUUGCACAGAAUCAUUUGGUAUUCAACAACGUUUCCUGUGAAAUUCAGCUGCAUAAAGAUGUCCACAUUCUCAGACAUGCACAAUGGGAAAAACAUUGGUUGUAAUUCAUAAGGAUAUAUGAAUUUGGAGAUGGAGAAAUCUAAAAUUUAUUCAUUGAAUCCAAGACCUGUCAUCUCCAAACUCCCUCAACAAGCCAAGAUGGGUGUUGUUGUAAUCUUGCCAAACACACUGUCAACAGAAAUAAUUACAAUUUCAAAAGUAGCUGCAAUUUUUGCCUUAAUUAGAACCCAAUUAAGGGUUCCACCCAGAUACACUCCACGAACUUUCGGUAAAGACCAGAGAUCAGGAAAACCUUCAAGGUUUCUCCAACAACUGUCACCCAUGUCAUAAACUUUUAUCUCAUUUUUUUCUGAUUGCAAAAGCUCAGUCAGUGCCAUUGCUACAACCUUGUAUUUGUCACUUGAAGGAUCACAGCCAAACGCAAACAUUGUUUUACCACACCUUCAGCAAAUGGAAAAACACAGCAUUGGCGAGUUGCUGGAUAUUGCCCUUGUAGCAAUGUUCCAAAAACGAAUAUGGGAUGAAUAUGUCAAUACUUUACACAUCCAGGGACGAAAAUGACUAUUUACCCAAAUGUAUUUUGGUACCUUUGCUAUACAAACACCAAAGCCUCCAUAUUUCUUUGGUUAGGUAACAUGCUUCCCUUAGAGUGUGAUUUUGACACUAUCUCUAAUUAUCAUGAGAUUUGAGUUUUUUCGAAUAUUAUCACCGACCCUCCAAAAUAGUCACAAGCAUAUUGUAGAUACCACAAAAUUUGCAUUCCAUAGGCAGGGAGCGCAACCAAACUGGGUUAGCAAGGGUGAGGCGCCCUGCUUUAUUGAGUAUAACCUCCCUUUCCAUCCAGCCAAGCGAGAGUCCACCUUCUCAAUGAUCUCCAAAGUAACCAGAGGAGGAGCUCUAGAGAGCACCAGAAACGCCACCAUUGCUAACAGAGAACGCUUGAGUGACUACAUCGAGAUGAGCCAACAUAUGAUGAGUUCCAUGCUGAAGAUUGAGAGGUUUAGGCUGUACCAGGGAAAUGCUAUGAUAAAUGUGACAUCGGGGCAUAAGAUUUUAUUUCAUAUUUUAUAAUUCCAAGAAUAAUAUAGUUGUUUUAUGUUUUUCGCUUUAGUGUGUCUUCUUUUCAUUCAGAAUGGGCAGCCUUGUUUUAAGUCGAGAUGAUUUUAUCAAUAUUUGAACAAGUUCUAUUAUGAUUUUAC